rnacentral:rRNA from 1 species
GACGAACGCUGGCGGCGUGCUUAACACAUGCAAGUCGAACGGAAAGGCCCUGCUUUUGUGGGGUGCUCGAGUGGCGAACGGGUGAGUAACACGUGAGUAACCUGUCCUUGACUUUGGGAUAACUUCAGGAAACUGGGGCUAAUACCGGAUAGGAGCUCCUGCUGCAUGGUGGGGGUUGGAAAGUUUCGGCGGUUGGGGAUGGACUCGCGGCUUAUCAGCUUGUUGGUGGGGUAGUGGCUUACCAAGGCUUUGACGGGUAGCCGUCCUGAGAGGGUGACCGGCCACGUUGGGACUGAGAUACGGCCCAGACUCCUACGGGAGGCAGCAGUGGGGAAUAGUGCACAAUGGGCGGAAGCCUGAUGCAGCAACGCCGCGUGCGGGAUGACGGCCUUCGGGUUGUAAACCGCUUUCGCCUGUGACGAAGCGUGAGUGACGGUAAUGGGUAAAGAAGCACCGGCUAACUACGUG